rnacentral:sRNA from 1 species
CUGAAGGCUGACUCUGUAGCUCAGUUGAGAGCACUCGCCUAGCAUGCCCCCAGCAUAGCAUAAAUCCAACAAACAUGCCUAUGAUCUUGGCACUUGGGAGGUAGAGGAGCAGAGAUGUUAGAGUCAUCCCUGGCUACAUAAAAAGGAAACUGAGGCAGAGAGGAAAAAUCAAUUAAGACAGUCAUCUGGGACAGAGUCAUCGCUUAGACCCUCCCCCUCACCCCCUCUUGUUUUCAUGGAGAUGGUAGACUGAGGGGUCCAUUCACCCUGGGAUAAGUCCUUGAUGAUAGCAGAGGAGUCUGUGAGGUAUUGCCAAGCCCAGACAGCACCAUGGAGAGACAAGAACAUAUGGCAGUUGUCCCAGGAUGACAGUGUGACCCAGGACACCAAGAACAUGGGACUUGCAGCUCUGAGUUUUUGGACAACAGGACUCCUGUGCACUGGCCCAGCAGAUGGACUGGUCCCUGUCAUGGAGGGCCUUCUCUGAGCUCCAUGGCACCAAUGAUGGUGUGACAUAGCAGGUAUCCCAGGAUGACCUUGAACUCCUGAUCCUUCUGCCUCCACCCCCUGAAUGCUGACAUUGUGGGCUUGUAUCACAACUGGCUUCUGGCUGGGUCCUGUUAACUUCUGAAGACUAAGUGAAGUAGAUCUUAGGAAAUGUCAUGGCUGCAAAGAUUCUGAAGCAAGAGAAGAGAGAGCAGACAGGCAGGUGGAUGGGGCAGAUGAUGGCCCAGGCUGUGACCUAUGGAAGCCCUUGAGGAGUGGAGCGAGGGAAGCUAUGGCCUUCUGUCCCCGGUACUUGGCUGAUCAGAGCACCUAGAGACUGAGAAACCUGGAGGCACGGUAAAAAGCACGCCCAAAGGCCUGUCACCUGGAUGAUUCUAGAACCUUCCACGUUGAUGAUUAGCCAUCAGGAACAGUGGUCCUGGAGCAAGCUGGGGUGGGGCUCUGCCCAUUUUAGAGGAUACUAGGAGUUCUCUAAAGAGUAGUUCCUGGGGGUUCUCCAUCUAAGGAAGAAACCACUCAGCUCAGAGACCAGUGCACCUAAAUUGGUUCUUCUCUCAGCCAACCAGUUCAAAAAUCAUCUCCUCUGCGAAGACUUCAUGAAUACAUCCCCUUCUGCUCCUUCUAAAAUCUACCCACUGCCCCUCCUGAGGAGCCCUACAGCACACUGUUCAAGCCCACUACAUACUAAUGGAAAGGAAACUGUUCGUUGAAAGCCUGGUGUUCCAGGCCUUCAGUAACUGCUGACCAGGCAUCCGUCAUGGCAGACACUCAGCUGGAUGCCACACAUACACAGCAGUGACCAAAUCCAGAGCUAGGUCCUUCAGAAAGUCACAGCCUUCUUGGGAUCAUUCACCUGGCCUUGCCCUGACUGCCUUGCUCAACAUUUAAAAGCACACUUUUUGUGAUCCAGAGACUGAACAUUUUCUGUCACAUCUACAUCAAUGAAGCUUACAAAAAAAUGCCGACUUCCGGGGUCCCGAAGAUCAUGACGCCUACUUAUGCUCAUUACAUGAUAUUCACUUGAAAUUUCUUAGCCUUUGCCCAAUUAGCUUCCGUGGACAGCCAUGUAUGAGCAUGGUGCUGCUCCCUGGCCUCUGCCCCGUGAGACUCAUCUCAUCCACGGGUUCCCAGUUCACUCCUGCCUGAGGCGUAGACCAGGCAGUGGUGUAGGUGGGCCCUGGAUUAUAGAAAGCCCUGUACAGACUUUUGAUGGGGUGGCAGGGAGGCACAGCUUCGAGUGGGUAUAGGGGCUGCGUGAUGAGAUGCUUCCCAGUUUCCAGACUGAAACUGAACCAACCAUAGACCCCCACCUUCCCAGGCAUGACUGAGACACUGGAAGGAAAAAGGUAAUUAAAACACAACAAUCAAACCAACCUUUUUAAAUAGUAACUUUUAAAAAUAUAAAAAGCUUCAUUACAAUGAUGUUUCAAUUUUUCUUUUUUCUUCAGGAAUAACUCUCUUCCACCCUAACCCUCCCUUCUGGCUAGAGCCUUAACAAGUGGUGGCCAGUGAUCAUCUGAAACCCAGAGACAGAUGGACAGACUCCAGACAGGCAUGUCGACAUGCCUCUCAGGAAGGUGCGGGGUGCCACGGUCUUUCCAUGUCCCAACAUACAUCCUGUUCGGGGCAGCCGCUCAGUUGGAGCACUGGAGAUGGGCAGGUUUUAGACACCCUCAUCUUUCUUCCCAGACUGAGUCCCACAUUAUAAAAUAAUCCAUAAAAAUGCAAUAUAAAAACUCUCUUCCAUAUGCUACAUCCAUGGAAAGCCCACCAGCAGGGCUCACACGGUCUUUAGCUUUUCUUUAAUAAAACAACAAAAGACCAAAACAAAACAAAGCAAACCUAAUACCACAAACAUUGGUACCCUAGGGGUGAUAUCUGCAGAUGACAUUCCGUCUGCCCCAGCCCCCAGCCCGCUCCCCCGCCCAUCUUCUUAGACUUACGACCCUGGGGGUCACCAUAUCCCCGGCUUCAGGGAGCAGAAAGGGCUGAGAGCAGGAAAGGGGAGACGGCAUCUUAUCAAAGGAUAUCACUUCUAAUUAUUUUUAUUCAAAUUAAAAAAAAAAGCACCCACACCAGUUGCUGUUUUUCUCUGGUAGCUCCCUGAGCUGAGUCGCUUGUCUCCCUCCCACCCCCAUAUGGAAUCCUUUCUAGGCUGGCGGAGGAGAGUCAGAGAGGGAGUUCCCUUGAACUUCCAUUCCUCAUCACAAUGAUUGAGUGUGCACCAAAGAGAAAGAUGGGGUCCAGUGGGAGAGGCGAGCGGGGGGAGGGGGGCAGAAAGAGAUGGAGGUCAGGAGGUGUGAGGGCAAGGCAAGAGAAGAUGGAGCAGAGAAACCCACAGGAAAUCCUCGCUGUUCCUGUGGAUAAUAGCCCAAGCUGGCCCAUCCCAGUACUGUCUGUCCAUCAGCUUGUCUGUCCAUCUGCCUAUCAUUCCAUCUGAAGAUGGUGCUAAAACCCGUGUGGAGAUAUACUUCAGUCCCAGUGGGCCAGGCUGGUUUGCCCAUCCCCAGGAAGCUUCUCAUUCCACUCCCCGACUCUCUAUCUCUGCCUACUUUCCCCACAGAACAUCUGUUUAAAAAAAAUCUUAAGAAAAGAAAGAAAGAAAAGCCACCACCGCGAGUGGGUUACAAAUACAGCAGGCAAAAUACACGGCGAGCACUGGUGGGAAGGGGCCUCCUCCCUCACUGGCCAGUCAGCAACCACAGUCUCUUAUUUACAUUGUU